rnacentral:rRNA from 1 species
AGUGAGUGAUGAAGGCCCUAGGGUUGUAAAGCUCUUUUAGCAAGGAAGAUAAUGACGUUACUUGCAGAAAAAGCCCCGGCUAACUCCGUGCCAGCAGCCGCGGUAAGACGGAGGGGGCUAGCGUUGUUCGGAAUUACUGGGCGUAAAGAGUGCGUAGGCGGUUUAGUAAGUUGGAAGUGAAAGCCCGGGGCUUAACCUCGGAAUUGCUUUCAAAACUACUAAUCUAGAGUGUAGUAGAGGAUGAUGGAAUUCC